UAAUACCGAAGCCCCAAGUGGUCGUCGAUCUUAUUGGGCCUAAAACAUCCGUAGCCGGUUUGGUACAUUCGUGGGUAAAUCAGACAGCUUAACUGUCUGAAUUCUGCGAGGACGGCCAAACUUGAGACCGGGAGAGGUGUAGGGUACCUGCGGGGUAGGGGUAAAAUCCUGUCAUCCCGUAGGGACCACCAGUUGCGAAGGCUCUACACUAGAACGGAUCUGACGGUCAGGGACGAAGCCUAGGGGCACGAACCGGAUUAGAUACCCGGGUAGUCCUAGGUGUAAACGCUGUGGACUUUGUGUCGGGGGUCUUUCGAGGACUCUCGGUGCCGGAGUGAAGAUGUUAAGUCCACUGCCUGGGGAGUACGGUCGCAAGGCUG
rnacentral:rRNA from 1 species